rnacentral:tRNA from 1 species
GGCGCCGUAGCCAAGUGGUAAGGCAGAGGUCUGCAAAACCUCCAUCACCGGUUCGAUUCCGGUCGGCGCCU